rnacentral:rRNA from 1 species
GAUGAACGCUAACGGCAGUCUGAAUACAUGCAAGCCGAGGGGGCAGCAAUGUCACCGGCGAACGGGUGCGUAACACGUAUGCAACCUACCUAUAUCAGGGGGAUAGCCCGAGGAAACUCGGAUUAAUACCGCAUAACAUUAGGAUCGGCAUCGAUUUUAAUUGAAAGAUUUAUUGGAUAUAGAUGGGCAUGCGUAGGAUUAGCUAGUUGGUAAGGUGACGGCUUACCAAGGCUACGAUCCUUAGGGGCCCUGAGAGGAGUAUCCCCCACACUGGCCCUGGGAUACGGGCCAGACUCCGACGGGAGGCGGCAGUGGGGAAUAUUGGGCAAUGGGCGAAAGCCUGACCCACCCAUGCCGAGUGCAGGAAGACGGCCCUCUGGGUUGUAAACUGCUUUUGAAUGGGAAGAAAGGUAUGCUUCCGAGCGUAAUUGACGGUACCAUUAGAAUAAGCCACGGCUAACUACGUGCCAGCCGCCGCCUUAA